rnacentral:rRNA from 1 species
CAUAUCAAUAAGCGGAGGAAAAGAAACCAACAGGGAUUGCCCCAGUAACGGCGAGUGAAGCGGCAACAGCUCAAAUUUGAAAUCUGGCCCUCGGGUCCGAGUUGUAAUUUGUAGAGGAUGCUUUUGGCGAGGUGCCUUCCGAGUUCCCUGGAACGGGACGCCAUAGAGGGUGAGAGCCCCGUCUGGUCGGACACCGAGCCUCUGUAAAGCUCCUUCGACGAGUCGAGUAGUUUGGGAAUGCUGCUCAAAAUGGGAGGUAUAUGUCUUCUAAAGCUAAAUAUUGGCCAGAGACCGAUAGCGCACAAGUAGAGUGAUCGAAAGAUGAAAAGCACUUUGAAAAGAGGGUUAAAAAGUACGUGAAAUUGUUGAAAGGGAAGCGCCUAUGACCAGACUUGAGCCCGGUGAAUCAUCCAGCGUUCUCGCUGGUGCACUUUGCCGGGCCCAGGCCAGCAUCAGUUUGGCGCGGGGGAUAAAGGUGACGGGAAUGUGGCUCCCUCGGGAGUGUUAUAGCCCGCUACGUAAUACCCUGCGCCGGACUGAGGUACGCGCAUUGCAAGGAUGCUGGCGUAAUGGUCAUCAGCGACCCGUCUUGAAACACGGACCAAGGAGUCGUCUUCGUAUGCGAGUGUUCGGGUGUCAAACCCCUACGCGUAAUGAAAGUGAACGCAGGUGAGAGCUUCGGCGCAUCAUCGACCGAUCCUGAUGUUCUCGGAUGGAUUUGAGUAAGAGCAUACGGGGCCGGACCCGAAAGAAGGUGAACUAUGCCUGUAUAGGGUGAAGCCAGAGGAAACUCUGGUGGAGGCUCGCAGCGGUUCUGACGUGCGAAUCGAUCGUCAAAUAUGGGCAUGGGGGCGAAAGACUAAUCGAACCUUCUAGUAGCUGGUUUCCGC